AUUGAACGCUGGCGGCAGGCCUAACACAUGCAAGUCGAACGCGUGGCGGACGGGUGAGUAAUGUCUGGGAAACUGCCCGCUGGAGGGGGAUAACUCCUGGAAACGGUAGCUAAUACCGCAUACCCUCGGAUGUGCCCAGAUGGGAUUAGCUAGUAGGUGGGGUAAAGGCUCACCUAGGCGACGAUCCCUAGCUGGUCUGAGAGGAGGACCAGCCACACUGGAACUGAGACACGGUCCAGACUCCGACGGGAGGCAGCAGUGGGGAAUAUUGCACAAUGGGCGAAAGCCUGAUGCAGCCAUGCCGCGUGUAUGAAGAAGGCCUUCGGGUUGUAAAGUACUUUCAGCGGGGAGGCGUUACUCGCAGAAGAAGCACCGGCUAACUCCGUGCCAGCAGCCGCGGUAAUUC
rnacentral:rRNA from 1 species